rnacentral:rRNA from 1 species
CGUGGGUAACCUGCCUUAUAGUGGGGGAGUAGCCUUUCGAAAGGAAGAUUAGUACCGCAUAAGAUUGUAGUAUCGCAUGAUAUAGCAAUUAAAGGAGCAAUUCGCUAUAAGAUGGACCCGCGUCGCAUUAGCUAGUUGGUGAGGUAAUGGCUCACCAAGGCGACGAUGCGUAGCCGACCUGAGAGGGUGAUCGGCCACAUUGGGACUGAGACACGGCCCAGACUCCUACGGGAGGCAGCAUG